rnacentral:tRNA from 1 species
GGUCUCGUGGCGGAAUUGGUAUACGCGCCUGUUUCAGAGGCAGGUGUCCGCAAGGGCGUGAGGGUUCGACUCCCUCCGAGACUA